ACAAACUCCGAAUGCCAAUUAAUUUAACUUGGGAGUCAGAACAUGGGUGAUAAGGUCCGUGUUCGAAAGGGAAACAGCCCAGACCACCAGCUAAGGUCCCAAAAUAUAUGUUAAGUGGAAAAGGAUGUGGCGUUGCCCAGACAACUAGGAUGUUGGCUUAGAAGCAGCCAUCAUUUAAAGAGUGCGUAAUAGCUCACUAGUCGAGUGACACUGCGCCGAAAAUGUACCGGGGCUAAACAUAUUACCGAAGCUGUGGAUUGUCCUUUGGACAAUGGUAGGAGAGCGUUCUAAGGGCGUUGAAGCAUGAUCGUAAGGACAUGUGGAGCGCUUAGAAGUGAGAAUGCCGGUGUGAGUAGCGAAAGACGGGUGAGAAUCCCGUCCACCGAUUGACUAAGGUUUCCAGAGGAAGGCUCGUCCGCUCUGGGUUAGUCGGGUCCUAAGCUGAGGCCGACAGGCGUAGGCGAUGGAUAACAGGUUGAUAUUCCUGUACCACCUAUAAUCGUUUUAAUCGAUGGGGGGACGCAGUAGGAUAGGCGAAGCGUGCGAUUGGAUUGCACGUCUAAGCAGUAAG
rnacentral:rRNA from 1 species